GGUGAUUCGAGUCCUCAAAGCUGGAGGGACGUGGGCUUCACUUCGCUUCCUUCAUUUAUUUGCUCAAUAAAACCGGUCGGGAAUCCUGUAAAAUUGGCAGGUUGACUGAGUACGCCACAAAUGAAGUGGGGGAUCAGACACAUUCCAGGCCCCGGCAGGGAGUUGUGAAUAUGAGUUAAACAAAGAGAACAGAGCAUUUGGGAAAGGAUCAUCUCUACAUACUGUACCAUAGAGCAGGGGUUCCCUAAUUCGGUCCCGAAUCGUGGCAAAGGGCAUAGGCUUGGACACUGGGUGGUUCGGAAGACUGGUGACCAGAGGCGAGUAAACAAGCAGUUUCCCAGGAGUGAAGGAGAUGAUAGACCAUACCACACACACACCUCUGCUGCUCAUAAACAUGGAGAGGACCUGGAGCACAGAGCCAGUGCUGCCUGCUGCACCCUGCACCUCUCUGACCAGAACCAGCAGUGCAG
ensembl:lncRNA